rnacentral:tRNA from 1 species
GGUAUAGCUAAGUGGUAAAGCAAUAGACUCUGACUCUAUUAUGCGCAGGUUCGAGUCCUGCUAC